AUACGUAGGGGGCAAGCGUUGUCCGGAAUUACUGGGCGUAAAGCGCACGCAGGCUGAAUUAUAAGUCGGUAGUCAAAGGCGGAGGCUCAACCGCUGUAUAUCUAUCGAUACUGUAAAUCUGGAGUAUGUGAGGGGGAAGCGGCAUUCCCUGUGUAGCGGGGAAAUGCGUAGAUAUCGGGAGGAACACCAGUGGCGAAGGCGGCUACCUGGCACAAUACUGACGCUCAUGUGCGAAAGCUAGGGCAGCGAACGGGAUUAGAUACCCCGGUAGUCCUAGCCGUAAACGAUGGAUACUAGGUGUGGGUGUCGCAGGGCAUCCGUGCCGCAGUUAACGCGUUAAGUAUCCCGCCUGGGGACUACGGUCGCAAGACUGAAACUCAAAGGAAUUGACGGGG
rnacentral:rRNA from 1 species